rnacentral:rRNA from 1 species
GAUGAACGCUGGCGGCGUGCUUAACACAUGCAAGUCGAACGGAGAUUAGAAGCUUGCUUCUAAUCUUAGUGGCGGACGGGUGAGUAACGCGUGGGUAACCUGCCCUAUGCAGGGGGAUAACAUUUGGAAACAGAUGCUAAUACCGCAUAACCUAAAGUAAUCGCAUGAUUACUUUAGCAAAGAUUUAUCGGCAUAGGAUGGACCCGCGUUGGAUUAGCUAGUUGGUGAGAUAACAGCCCACCAAGGCAACGAUCUAUAGCCGGCCUGAGAGGGUGAACGGCCACACGUGGACUGAGACACGGCCCAGACUCCUACGGGAGGCAGCAGUGGGGAAUAUUGCACAAUGGGCGAAAGCCUGAGGCAGCGACGCCGCGUGAAGGAUGAAGGUCUUCGGAUUGUAAACUUCUAUCAGCAGGGAAGAAUACCAUGACGGUACCUGACUAAGAAGCCCCGGCUAACUACGUGCCAGCCGCCGCCGUAAGAC